GACGAACGCUGGCGGCGUGCUUAACACAUGCAAGUCGAACGGAAAGGCCCUGCUUUUUUGGGGUGCUCGAGUGGCGAACGGGUGAGUAACACGUGAGUAACCUGCCCUUGACUUUGGGAUAACUUCAGGAAACUGGGGCUAAUACCGGAUAGGAGCUCCUGCUGCAUGGUGGGGGUUGGAAAGUUUCGGCGGUUGGGGAUGGACUCGCGGGUUAUCAGCUGGUGGGUGGGGUAGUGGCUUACCAAGGCUUUGGCGGGUAGCCGGCCGGAGAGGGUGACCGGCCACAUUGGGACUGAGAUACGGCCCAGACUCCUACGGGAGGCAGCAGUGGGGAAUAUUGCACAAUGGGCGCAAGCCUGAUGCAGCAGCGCCGCGUGCGGGAUGAAGGCCUUCGGGUUGUAAACCGCUUUCGGCUGUGACGAAGCGUUAGUGACGGUAAUGGGUAAAGAAGCACCGGCUAACUACGUG
rnacentral:rRNA from 1 species